GUGCUCCAGUCUGGGUGACAGAGUGAGACCCUGUCUCAAAAUAAAUAAAUAAAAGGAAUAGCAGGAAGUGAUGGCUGAGUAAAUGUGCCAGGUUGGGGAAAGGGAGAAACUUAGGACUGAGGUUUCAGGAUUGUGAGACUGUAGGUGGCUAGUGGGAUUAUCCACUAAGAUAAGAAACAUAGGACGAUAGCUUUUGGGAGGCGGAGGAACUCAUCUGGAAUUGAUUUGCUUGUGGAAUAUCCAGGGAGAAACCCCUGGAGGCAGUUGGCUGUUGGGUUUAAACUGAUAGAAGAAAAGAAGAAAGGCCGAAAACUGUGAAGUGACAGAAAGAAGGGAAUAAAUCUAAAGAUAGUAGAAGGAAACAAAUAACAAAAUAAUAAAGAUAUAGCAGAAUUAAUGAAAUAGAAACCAAAUAUUCAGUAAAGGGGAUCCACAAAGCCUAAAGUGAUUCUUUGAAAAUAUUAAUAAGACAGAUAAGUGUAUAGUCAGGGUUCUCCAGAGAAACAAAAGCAAUAGGAUAUGUAUCUAUGUAGACAGAUUUAUUUUAAGGAACUGGUUCACAUGAUUAUGCAGGCUGGCAGGUUCCACAGUCUGCAGGUUGGGUCGGCAGGCUGGAGACCCAGAGAUGAGCUGAUGUUUGCAAGUCAGGUCCAAAGGCCAUCUGCUGCUACACUGGUUGGUGGAGGUCACUCUUUUUGUUCUCUUCAGGCCUUUGACUGAUUGGAUGAGGCCAACUUGCAUUAUGGAGGGCAAUCUACUUUGCUCAAAGGCCACCUGCUUAAAUGUUUUUUUGGUUGUUGUUGUUGUUGAGACAGAGUCUCGCUCUGUCACCCAGGCUGGAAUGCAAUGGCGCGAUCUUGGCUCACUACACUUCCCAGGUUCAAGCGAUUCUCCUGCCUCAGCUUCCCAAGUAGCUGGGAUUACAGGUGGGUCCCACCAUGCCUGGCAAAUUUUUGUAUUUUUAGUAAAGACAGGGUUUCACCAUGUUGGUCAGGCUGGUCUCGAACCCCUGACCUCGUGAUCCACCCACCUUGGCCAGAGUGCUGGGAUUACAGGUGUGAGCCACCACGCCCGGCCCACCCACUUAAAUGUUAAUCCACUCCUAAAACACGCUUAAAGAAACAUUCAGGUUCUUUAAACCACAUAUCUGGGCACUUUGGCCAGCCAAAUUGACAUAUAAAAUUAACCAUCUGGCAAAAUUAAUCAAG
rnacentral:lncRNA from 10 species